CUUGGAAGCAGCCAUUCAUUUAAAGAGUGCGUAACAGCUCACUAGUCGAGGAGUUCUGCGUGGAUAAUAAUCGGGCAUAAGCCGUUUACCGAAGCUGUGGAAUUGGCAACAAUUGGUAGGGGAGCAUUCCAUGAGCCGCAGAAGGUUUUCCUUGAGGAAUGCUGGAGGUAAUGGAAAAGCAAAUGUAGGUAUAAGUAACGAUAAAGAGGGCGAGAACCCCUCUCGCCGAAAGACCAAGGGUUCCUGAUCAACGCUAAUCGGAUCAGGGUAAGUCGGGCCCUAAGGCGCAGCCGAACGGCGCAGCCGAUGGCAGAAACGGUUAAUAUUCCGUUACUAUGAUACGGAGUGACGAGGAGACGGAGAAGUGACACUCUCGCCUGCUGACGGAAUAGCAGGUUGAACGGAGUAGAUAAUGACAUGGUAGGCAAAUCCGCCGUGGCAGUCGAACCGGAUAGUACUGGGCGCCCCCGGGCAACCAGAUAGUAGAGGUAAUCAGGCUCCCGAGAAAAUCCCCUAAACAUAUGCGUAUCAUACCCGUACCCGAAACGGACACACGUGGUUGAGUAGAAAAUACUAAGGCGCUCGAGCGACUCACGGUUAAGGAACUAGGCAAAUUGACCCUGUAACUUCGGGACAAAGGGUCCCUCCCAGGCGGGAGGGCGCAGAGAAUAGGUCCAGGCAACUGUUUAACAAAAACACAGGGCUGUGCAAAAUUGAAAGAUGAAGUAUACAGCCUGACACCUGCCCGGUGCUGGAAGGUUAAGAGGAGAUGUCAUCGCAAGAGAAGCAUUGAAUUGAAGCCCCAGUAAACGGCGGCCGUAACUAUAACGGUCCUAAGGUAGCGAAAUUCCUUGUCGGGUAAGUUCCGACCUGCACGAAUGGUGUAAUGAUCUGGACACUGUCUCAACCGUGAACUCGGUGAAAUUGUAGUAUCGGUGAAGAUGCCGAUUACCCGCAACGGGACGGAAAGACCCCGUGAACCUUUACUGCAACUUAACAUUGAAUUUGGGUAACUGAUGUGUAGGAUAGUCCGGAGACAGAGAAAUGGAUACGCCAGUAUUCAUGGAGUCACCCUUGAAAUACGGACCUUUGGUUAUUUGAGUUCUAACCCGUGGAAAAUGGGGACACUGUUUGGUGGGUAGUUUGACUGGGGUGGUCGCCUCCAAAAGCGUAACGGAGGCUUCUAAAGGUGCCCUCACGCCGAUUGGUAACCGGCGGUAGAGUGUAAUGGCAUAAGGGCGCUUGACUGGGAGACUUACAAGUCGAUCAGGUAG
rnacentral:rRNA from 1 species